UCCGUAGGGGGCGAGCGUUGUCCGGAAUCAUUGGGCGUAAAGAGCGUGUAGGUGGACUGGAAGGUCUGGUGUGAAAGCCCGGGGCUCAACCCCGGAGGGUCACUGGAAACCAACAGUCUUGAGUCUGGAAGAGGAGAGUGGAAUUCCUGGUGUAGCGGUGGAAUGCGCAGAUAUCAGGAGGAACACCAAUGGCGAAGGCAGCUCUCUGGUACAUGACUGACACUGAGACGCGAAAGCGUGGGGAGCGAACAGG
rnacentral:rRNA from 1 species